AAUUUGACUAACAGAGAUCAUAGUAUUCUAUGACGAUCAUUUAAAUAACUAUUACUAAAAUUUUAUUUGUAUAAAUCGAGCGCUCAGGUACUGUUUAGAGCUUAUUAAUCUAACUAUUAUUCAACCUCUAUGGUUGCCAGGUGCUGAUUUGUUGUAAAAAUUAGGUAGUGUGUAUUCGUUGGGGACAUCCAUGGCAGAAGAAUACAGGUAGAUGCAUCAACGCUUGGGAGCAUUGAUAUGUCAAAAAAUGUUCAAUGUUUUUUCAAAUAAACGCAGAUUUUUAUAUGUUUUCUUAUACGAAGAGGAUUUGGAGGUUAUUAGUGUUUAUCAACAAUUUUUAUUAAUUUAAGUAAUUUCUCAUUCAACAUUUUAAAUUCCAAAAUUGGUUUGACAGUUCAUUCUCCCACCAGUUGUGUCGAUGCUUCUACCUAUAUUCUUCUACCAUGGGGACAUCUGUGGCUGGUUCGUUUAAUAUACCAAAAAGAGGUAAUAUGAUUCUGACCACGAUAUGUGCUUUUCCAUUUGGUAGAUUUCAUUCAUUAGUGAGUUUUCAUGACUUUCGAGUUUUUCCACGAAUUUCUUCUGUGGCUUUGGAUAUACCUACAAAAUGGAACGACCCGGGCAGUGUUGCAGUAUCUCUUUUCCUGUGAAAUGUAGCUUUUGUUGAUACAUUUUCUUAAAAUCUUGCGUUCUAGGAUUUUUAACUCCUUGGCCGCUAUUGGGGAAAUAGAGAACCAGAUCGGAAACCCGUACGGUAAGAUAGAUCUGAUUGCAACUUUAUAGAGAAGUAGUUUCGUGUUUUGUGGUAGGUAUUUGCUUUUUAAUAGACAUGAAAACUUUACUAAUAUACCUUUUGUCUUUUGCAUGACGGACCGUGCGUGUUCAUUGAACUUCAUAAAAUUGGUGAAAGUAAUACCCAGGUAUUUGAGGGUGGUUUUGAAAGGAAUCUCAACUCCUUCAAGAGAUAGCUGGAGUUCUUUACUCUCUGGAAUAACGUUUCUGGGGCAUUUUCCUGAAGCGUUCCGGAAACAUAUUGCUACUGAUUUCUCGGCAUUGAUUUUGACUCCACAUUUUUGAUAAAAUUCAUGAAUGCUUUGGAGAUGAGUUCUAGCGUUUUGUAAGGCGUUUUUGGACGAAAUGUUGUGUGCAUAAAUUAAGCAGUCGUCGGCAUAUAAAAUCGCUUGGGAGCCUUGGCUGACGUGGGGAAAGUCAUACAGGAAAAUGUUGAAAAGACGAAAUGUUAUUGAUGUUAAAUAAAAACUUUCGUGCACAGAGAAAACUUGCCAUCAACUUGACCAGAUAUGGGUCUAGACCAAUUUGGAUUAACUUGUAAAGUACUCCUGCGUGACAUACUGAGUCAAAUGCUU